CUUGCUCCCUGAUGUUACGGCGGACGGGUGAGUACACGUGGGUACCUGCCUGUAAGACUGGGAUAACUCCGGGAAACCGGGGCUAAUACCGGAUGCUUGUUUGAACCGCAUGGUUCAAACAUAAAAGGUGGCUUCGGCUACCACUUACAGAUGGACCCGCGGCGCAUUAGCUAGUUGGUGAGGUAACGGCUCACCAAGGCAACGAUGCGUAGCCGACCUGAGAGGGUGAUCGGCCACACUGGGACUGAGACACGGCCCAGACUCCUACGGGAGGCAGCAGUAGGGAAUCUUCCGCAAUGGACGAAAGUCUGACGGAGCAACGCCGCGUGAGUGAUGAAGGUUUUCGGAUCGUAAAGCUCUGUUGUUAGGGAAGAACAAGUACCGUUCGAAUAGGGCGGUACCUUGGACGGUACCUAACCAGAAAGCCACGGCUAACUACGUGCCAGCAGCCGCGGUAAUACGUAA
rnacentral:rRNA from 1 species